UACGUAGGGAGCAAGCGUUGUUCGGAUUUACUGGGCGUAAAGGGCGCGUAGGCGGCAAUUCAAGUCAGCUGUGAAAUCUCCGGGCUUAACUCGGAACGGUCAGAUGAUACUGUUUUGCUAGAGUGCAGAAGGGGCAAUCGGAAUUCUUGGUGUAGCGGUGAAAUGCGUAGAUAUCAAGAGGAACACCUGAGGUGAAGACGGGUUGCUGGGCUGACACUGACGCUGAGGCGCGAAAGCCAGGGGAGCAAACGGG
rnacentral:rRNA from 1 species